rnacentral:ncRNA from 1 species
CGGGAAGGACGGCCUUCCCCUUUCUCAGCACCUCGCCGCGGGGACGACCCUG